rnacentral:rRNA from 1 species
CCCUUAGAUGUCCUGGGCCGCACGCGUGCUACACUGACGCCUACAGCGAGUACUUCCCAGCCCCGAGAGGUGGCUGGUAAUCAGCAAUAGGCGUCGUGAUGGGGAUAGAUCUUUGGAAUUAUGGAUCUUGAACGAGGAAUGCCUAGUAAGCGCAGGUCAUUAGCCUGCGCUGAUUAAGUCCCUGCCCUUUGUACACACCGCCCGUCGCUCCUACCGAUUUCGAGUGAUCCGGUGAAUUGCUUGGAACAGCUACGGUGUUCUUUGAACGCUGUGGAGGUGAAGAGUUGUAAACCUUAUCACUUAGAGGAAGGAAAAGUCGUAACA